UACGAAGGGGGCUAGCGUUGUUCGGAUUUACUGGGCGUAAAGCGCACGUAGGCGGAUUGUUAAGUCAGGGGUGAAAUCCUGGAGCUCAACUCCAGAACUGCCUUUGAUACUGGCAAUCUUGAGUCCGGAAGAGGUGAGUGGAACUCCUAGUGUAGAGGUGGAAUUCGUAGAUAUUAGGAAGAACACCAGUGGCGAAGGCGGCUCACUGGUCCGGUACUGGACGCUGAGGUGCGAAAGCGUGGGGAGCAAACAGG
rnacentral:rRNA from 1 species